UGACGCCUCCCGCGCGCCUCCAACGCGCUUUUAUCCUCCUUGCGCACGCACACAAGCGCGUGCACGGAGACACUGCGCACCACGUGACCAACUGUACAGCUGUUACAAAGGAGGACACUAUCCAGGAGCCACAAGGAUCUCACUCUGAACAUUCAUUCUGCUCCAGACCAGAAGCCUGUGCUACAAAACAGGAUUAGGUGCUUAUCCAGCUAGUGACGACCUCCAUCUCACACCGGAUGAGCAGGAUGAGCUUGG